rnacentral:rRNA from 1 species
AUUGAACGCUGGCGGCAUGCCUUACACAUGCAAGUCGAACGGUAACAGGUUAAGCUGACGAGUGGCGAACGGGUGGGUAAUAUAUCGGAACGUGCCCAGUCGUGGGGGAUAACGUAGCGAAAGCUACGCUAAUAGCGCAUACGAUCUACGGAUGAAAGCGGGGGAUCGCAAGACCUCGCGCGAUGGGAGCGGCCGAUAUCAGAUUAGGUUGUUGGUGAGGUAAAAGCUCACCAAGCCUGCGAUCUGUAGCUGGUCUGAGAGGACGACCAGCCACACUGGAACUGAGACACGGUCCAGACUCCUACGGGAGGCAGCAGUGGGGAAUUUUGGACAAUGGACGCAAGUCUGAUCCAGCAAUGCCGCGUGCAGGACGAAGGCCUUCGGGUUGUAAACUGCUUUUGUACGGAACGAAACGGUGAGCUCUAAUACAGUUUGCUAAUGACGGUACCGUAAGAAUAAGCACCGGCUAACUACGUGCCAGCCGCCGCCGUAA